AGUGAACGCUGGCGGUAGGCCUAACACAUGCAAGUCGAACGGCAGCACAGUAAGAGCUUGCUCUUACGGGUGGCGAGUGGCGGACGGGUGAGGAAUACAUCGGAAUCUACUUUUUCGUGGGGGAUAACGUAGGGAAACUUACGCUAAUACCGCAUACGACCUACGGGUGAAAGCAGGGGAUCUUCGGACCUUGCGCGAUUGAAUGAGCCGAUGUCGGAUUAGCUAGUUGGCGGGGUAAAGGCCCACCAAGGGGACGAUCCGUAGCUGGUGUGAGAGGAUGAUCGGCCACACGGGAACGGAGACACGGUCCAUACUCCUACGGGAGGCAGCAGUGGGGAAUAUUGGACAAUGGGCGCAAGCCUGAUCCAGCCAUACCGCGUGGGUGAAGAAGGCCUUCGGGUUGUAAAGCCCUUUUGUUGGGAAAGAAAAGCAGCAGGUUAAUACCCCGCUGUUCUGACGGUACCCAAAGAAUAAGCACCGGCUAACUUCGUG
rnacentral:rRNA from 1 species